UACAGAGGGUGCUAGCGUUGUUCGGAAUCAUUGGGCGUAAAGGGCGCGUAGGCGGCUUUGUAAGUCCGUUGUGAAAUCCCUCGGCUCAACCGAGGAACUGCGACGGAUACUGCUUGGCUUGAGUCCCGGAGAGGGUAGCGGAAUUCCCAGUGUAGCGGUGGAAUGCGUAGAUAUUGGGAGGAACAUCGGUGGCGAAGGCGGCUACCUGGACGGGUACUGACGCUGAUGCGCGAAAGCUAGGGGAGCAAACAGG
rnacentral:rRNA from 1 species